UACGUAGGGUGCAAGCGUUAAUCGGAAUUACUGGGCGUAAAGCGUGCGCAGGCGGUUCGUUAAGUUCGUUGUGAAAGCCCCGGGCUCAACCUGGGAAUGGCAAUGGAAACUGGCGAGCUUGAGUGUGGCAGAGGGGGGUGGAAUUCCGCGUGUAGCGGUGAAAUGCGUAGAUAUCUGGAGGAACACCGGUGGCGAAGGCGGCAUCCUGGACCGGUAUUGACGCUGAGGCGCGAAAGCCAGGGGAGCAAACGGG
rnacentral:rRNA from 1 species